AUUGAACGCUGGCGGCAUGCCUAACACAUGCAAGUCGAGCGGAGCGGCGGACGGGGGAGUAAUGCCUAGGAAUCUGCCUGGUAGUGGGGGAUAACGUCGGGAAACGGGCGCUAAUACCGCAUACUAUCAGAUGAGCCUAGGUCGGCUUAGCUAGUUGGUGGGGUAAAGGCCUACCAAGGCGACGAUCCGUACGUGGUCUGAGAGGAUGAUCAGUCACACUGGAACUGAGACACGGUCCAGACUCCUACGGGAGGCAGCAGUGGGGAAUAUUGGACAAUGGGCGAAAGCCUGAUCCAGCCAUGCCGCGUGUGUGAAGAAGGCCUUCGGGUUGUAAAGCACUUUCAGCGGGGAGGCGGUACCCGCAGAAGAAGCACCGGCUAACUCCGUGCCAGCAGCCGCGGUAAUAC
rnacentral:rRNA from 1 species